GCAGAACAGCAAAGAAUGUUGCCUGUCCCUUCCUCUGGUACCUUCAUCAGCCAGAACUCUCCUGUAUGAGGUGUCUGUCGGCCCCUACUGUUCUGCAGACUGUACAAGAAGCAUGGUGCCAACAUCUGCUUCUGGUGAGGGACUUCAGAACUUUACAAUCAUGGCAGAAGGUGAAGGGGGAGAAGGCUGGCGUGCCAUGAUGCGAUCUCGGCUCACUGCAACCUCCGCCUCCUGGGUUCAGGCAUUUCUCCUGCCUCAGCCUCCCGAGUAGCUGGGAUUACAAGCAUGCACCACCAUGCCCAGCUAAUUUUUUGUAGUUUUAGUAGAGACGAA
rnacentral:lncRNA from 1 species